CGGGGUAUAGCACAGCCUGGUAGUGCGCAUGCUUUGGGAGCAUGAGGUCGCCCGUUCGAAUCGGGCUGCCCCGA
rnacentral:tRNA from 1 species